AGCUGGCCAAGGUGGGGUUCACUUAAUGAGGAAAAGAUAAUUGUUUCUAUGGUCUGUUUUAAGCAAAGCAGGUCGAGAAAUUGAAGAAGACGAAAGAGAAGUCUUCAGCCAAAGGCUCGAGGAAUGCACCCGAGGAAAUACCAGGUCAGAAGGGUCCAUAGACCAAAAGGGUAAGAACAAGAGAGAGGUGAGGGCCAGGAGAGCUGGUCAGAGGCGUGAAUGGUUGGCUGAACGCUUUGAAUGGGAAACUCAAGUUGGAGUGUGAGAGCCUCAGCGUUCAGUUGAGGGUCUGAGUAACUGCUUUAAAUUGACUAAAAUAGAGAAAGUUUCUUCAUGAAUUGAGAUGCCAUGGCUUAAGGUUUAAAUGGUUACAAAGUUUUGAAAAAAAAAGCUUCUCAUAGAAGUUUAAGAACUUAACUUCUGGAUUUCUUCACAAUUUUUUUUUCUGUCGCCUUUGCUUAUAUUGUAUGUCUAAUGGUUUCUUAGGCGGAGACUUCGCUAAUAACUUCAAAUGCUGGUGAUUUAAGCGUUAGCCAAUAAUGUCUGAAAGGUGUGUUAACAAUGAAUUCCUCCCAAAGUUGAAGAGGCGAGACUGGAGCUGGCGAUCCAGCAGGAGGCAAAAGGAGGUCCAGAAAUUCUUAACUUUAAGGAGCCAAAAGCCUGGACCAGAUUUUCCUGCAGCCCAGAAUCCGAAGGAGCCCCAAGAUCCUGGAUCCGGAUAAGUGUUGUUUCUCAUCAUUUUCAUUGACUAGAAAUGUUUCUGUAGCAGACAUAAAACUGGCCAUUUUGUUUCCCUUGAGAAUUGUAUUUCCCCUGAGCAAAGUAGAGAACCUAGAAAGGACAGAGCUAUAUUUUACCAGGUUAAGAGGUUUGAAAGUAACAUCUGUUCAUUGGAGAAUUUGCAGCAGAGAUGCCAGAGUGCUAGUUUGUCUCAAAGUAGUAUCAGAAGAAGUUAGGAGGAAUGACGGAGCCCAGAAAUGAUUGUUAGUAAUAGAAGAUAAAUUUAUUUUCAAUCUGGAGCCUGGUUAGAGAAUUGCCAUCUCAUAGUGAAUUGUAUGGGAAGGUAAUUGGGAAAAAGAAAAGCUAUGGAGGAAAUUGGUUAUUGAUACAGUCACAAGGGAGAAUGGAAAGGCAGAUAAACAUUUUUAGCCAUUAUGAAUGAGUAAGCAAAUUCAAAGAGGUCCCUUUUCUUAAAAGAAGAGUUUAGGUCAUAAGGAAAACCUGGCAAAAUAUCAGUGCCAAAAGGGGGGAGGCCCAGCACAUAAAUAGUAGAUUCUAAACAGCAGUUUUAAUAAACAAGGUUCUGAUAGAACA
rnacentral:lncRNA from 1 species